GAAAUGCGAUAAGUAAUGUGAAUUGCAGAAUUCAGUGAAUCAUCGAAUCUUUGAACGCACCUUGCGCUCCUUGGUAUUCCGAGGAGCAUGCCUGUUUGAGUGUCAUGGAAUUCUCAACUCUAUUUGCUUUUGUGAAUAGAGCUUGGAUUUGGAGGUUUAUUGCUGGUACUUGUGAUCGGCUCCUCUUGAAUGCAUUAGCUCGAACCUUUGCGGAUCAGCUAUCGGUGUGAUAAUUGUCUACGCCGUUGCAGUGAAGCAUAUCAAUGGGCUCGGCUUCCAAUCGUCCUUUACUGGACAAUGACUUUGACCUCUGACCUCAAAUCAGGUAGGAUUACCCGCUGAACUUAAGC
rnacentral:misc_RNA from 1 species